UACAGAGGUCUCAAGCGUUGUUCGGAUUCAUUGGGCGUAAAGGGUGCGUAGGUGGUGAUGCAAGUCUGGUGUGAAAUCUCGGAGCUUAACUCCGAAAUUGCACCGGAUACUGCGUUGCUCGAGGACUGUAGAGGAGAUCGGAAUUCACGGUGUAGCAGUGAAAUGCGUAGAUAUCGUGAGGAAGACCAGUGGCGAAGGCGGAGCUCUGGGCAGUUCCUGACACUGAGGCACGAAGGCCAGGGGAGCAAACGGG
rnacentral:rRNA from 1 species